GCAUUUUGUCACAUCAGCCCAGGACGAGAGCAGCCAACUAAAGAGCUUCUCGAUGUUGCAUUGUAAAAGAUAAGAAAAGAAUCCCAUUGAAUGGCUAGCAAGCAGAAGCAUGCAUGUCAGCUCCUUCUGGAAUGGAAUGGCAGCCCUGCCCCCCAACUUCACAGGAAUCCAUUAGUCUCAUGCUGUUUCUCUAUCAAAAUCUCUUCUUGAGAAUGAAGCUGAAAUUGCUUCUCAUGAGAAGCCAAAGUGACAGAGAGCAGUUUAAAAUAUGACCUCAGCCUCGGGAAUUUGCAACUUGAAGAGGGAUAAAGGUCCCGUGAUAGAAGAUAAUAAAUGACCCUAAAAUGUCUCUUAGUGACA
rnacentral:lncRNA from 1 species